rnacentral:lncRNA from 10 species
CUUUUUCAAAAUGUGGCGGUGGCAGGGAAGGUUGUCUGCUCCAGAGGCUUCCCUAGAGUGAAGAGCUCUACUAUGUAUGCUUUAUGCGGCAGAAGGAGUGCUUUGGAGGAGUUUUUAAAUUUGUUUUUUUUUUAAAUCUUAUCGGUUUUAAUUGUAGCAAUGAUUCAAGAAACGUUAGUAGGUGCCCAUAACUUCGGUGGUGGAGAUCCAAAAGUGAACAAGACAGUGUUCUGGCUGCUAAAUUCUUCUUAACUGGUUAUGCCUGGAGACCUUCACUUGGUUCUGUGCCAGCACUGCCCAUGAACUUCAUAGACUGUGAUCUUUGCUAAGGCCUAAAUGAAUGAAGUGUACACUUCUUUGGUUCACUGGAACUGAACAACAGCUGAAUGUUUAACCUUGAUUGCAGGUGCAGGACCGGAAGCAGAAGACAGAAAGUGGAGACCAGAUGUUUGAAGCUGGGUAAAGGCAGGGAUGGAGCAGGAACCGAGGAACAAACCUUGGAACUAGCCACUUGAUUGCCGAGCCCCAUAGAAGACAUAAUUUACAAGAAACUCAUAGAGACUCAAAAUGUAAGGUUCUCUGAAAGAAAUUGAGGUGUAGUUCUUAGGUUAAGGGAAAUGAUUAACUUGAUUUAUCUAUGAAGGUUUUUUCUCAGUGUGGAGGAAAAUAGAUAAUGUGCAUUGCCAAGUGAUUUGCAAGACAUUGAUUGACUUAGUAAACAUUUAUUGAAUAUCUACUUUAUUUAAAGCAUUGUGUUGGGCACGCUUGGGGGUAAAAUUAGAUACAGUUCUUAAACAGAAGGAAGAAAAGAAAUCCAUGUUUUUGGAAAGGCUGUGACUCAUUUAAGCUCCAUAACAUCGAGGAAGAUGAGAAUUACAAUAUUAUUAUAUGUCAUUUUUGGUAUUAAUGGGAUUGAACUUAUUAAAUAAUACAUAGUGAGUGAUAACGGUUCAAAUCCAGGUUGGAUUAGCUCAAACAUGUACUUUCUUCUCAGUACUCCAUAUUGCUUUUCUUAUUUAAAUGUCUUCAUAAUUUCUUUAAGAUAUUUUCAUAAAUUGGGAUUUAAAAUGUAUUCUGGUA